rnacentral:rRNA from 1 species
UACAGAGACCCCGAGCAUUAUCCGGAAUUACUGGGCGUAAAGAGCGAGCAGCCGGUCGUGUUAGUCCGAUGUAAAACCAUGGGGCCCAACUCCAUGCCCGCAUUGGAAACGGCACGACUAGAGCGGAUGAAAGGGAGGCGGAACGUAUGGUGUAGGGGUGAAAUCCACUGAUAUCAUACGGAACACCAAAAGCGAAGGCAGCCUCCUGGCGUCUUGCUGACGGUCAGUCGCGAAAGCGUGGGGAU